CCUACGGGAGGCAGCAGUGAGGAAUAUUGGUCAAUGGACGAGAGUCUGAACCAGCCAAGUAGCGUGAAGGAUGACUGCCCUCUGGGUUGUAAACUUCUUUUAUAUGGGAAUAAAAUGUUCCACGUGUGGGAUUUUGAAUGUACCAGAUGAAUAAGGAUCGGCUAACUCCGUGCCAGCAGCCGCGGUAAUACGGAGGAUCCGAGCGUUAUCCGGAUUUGUUGGGGUUAAAGGGAGCGUAGGUGCAGUGUUAAGUCAGUUGGUAAAGUUUGCGGCUGAACCGUAAAAUCGCAGUUGAAACGGGCAGUCUUGAGUACAGGAGAGGUGGGCGGAAUUCGUGGUGUAGCGGUGAAAUGCGUAGAUAUCACGAAGAACUCCGAUGGCGAAGGCAGGUCACUGGAUUGCAACUGACGCUGAGGCUCGAAAGUGUGGGGAGCAAACAGGAGUAGAUACCCUAGUAGUC
rnacentral:rRNA from 1 species